GGUGUCUGUGGUGCGGCUGGUUCAAGCGCGCACUCCUUGAAAGGUUGAAGUGCAGGUUCGAGUCCUGCGUGACGUCA